rnacentral:lncRNA from 1 species
AGCAUAGUGAAUUGCUCAAAGGUAAAAAAAAAUAUUUUAAGUUCAUUAGACCAUAUUCAUUCUGUGUCAGAAACCUAUGCUGUGUCAACUAUUUAAUCACAAUCCAAAUUUAGAGCUGAAUCCAGCUUGAAUGAUGUGUCCAUACUUGCCCCAACCGUUCAGGGUUCAACCUCUGCGGUCGUAUAAAGCUGCGCCCUGCGGAGCAUCUGGUUUAAUAUUAGAAAA